rnacentral:rRNA from 1 species
AUGUCAUCAUGUGCAUUUCAUUUGCAUACGUGUUCAUCUCAUGCAUUCGAGCAUUUUCCCCGUAGUCCGUUUUGCAUUUCGGCAAUUCGUUCUCCUCCGAUAGUCAUUUCUAGAUUUCUUUCGUGUGUGGGGAUUAAACAUUUUCGGAUUGGACCGAGACUUGUCAAGCGGCCUUGGUUUACUAUCGGUAGACCGCCUGUCAAGUUUCGUAUCAUUUGGACUUCGUUUGAUACUCCAACGGUUAACCAAGGGACCGAAAAGGCCUCGUGUGUGUUGCAAACCAACACCCCCCAAUUUGGCCCAAAACCCACCUAA